rfam:Tupaia chinensis contig111693, whole genome shotgun sequence.
GUGCUUGCUCCAGCACAUAUACUAAUAUUGGAGCAAAACAGUAAAGUUAGUGUAGACCCUGGGCAAGGAUGAUACACGAAGUUUUGAAUCAUUCUAUAUAUUC